CACCCCAUAUACUCCUAAGAGUGAUGGUAAAAAUUAUACCAUGUUGCUUGCUCUAAUCCCUCACCUAGGUGCUAAAACUAUCAUUACCUGGUCCUACAUAAGCACUCCCAGGAAGAGACUUAUCCCAAACCUCCUUCAUAAACAGACAAGCGUAAUCCUUCUUGCGUUAUUUAAAAGAUUACUUUUCCAACUCAAAAGCUUUCCAUUCAACCUUUCAAUCAGACUUGAAAAAUUUCCACGAGACUCUUGAAAAAUUUUAAAGCCCACAUAUCUAUCCAGCUUAGAAGUAAACUGAAUAUUUGUUGCUCUAACAAUAGCCUCCUUCGGCCUAUUGCUC
rnacentral:lncRNA from 1 species